UUUACUCCUGUUAACUGAUGAUGAAGAGUAUUCACCAUCCAGCAGCAAGUUACUCGUACAUGGUGGUACUGCACACCAAGAACAAUACACAUCAACUGCUAGUACCAGUACUUCUGCUCCACAGCAAGGUGAACAGGACACACCAAUUGCCACUAGUUCUGCUGCACACCAAGGAGACACACUGGCAGACAUAAGCAACAAUUCAGCUUCUUCGGUUGAAGCUCCUGCAGGUGACAGUCCAGAUGCCACACCUCAACGGCCAUCUACUUUAAUAGCAGAUCCACCUCUGCCUGAACUGUCAGGGGCGACGAAAGCGAUGCUACUAGAGCCUACCUGUUCCCGAAAAGUGUGGCUACAGCUGAUUGAAGAGACAAAAAAUUAUUAUCUAAAGUUUUAUCCCUUGAUUGAAUCAAAUCCUAUGGGGACAUACAAAGCAAUUGGAAUGAAGAUGGUGUCUGCUUAUCCAUCCAUCAAGCGUGAAGGCUUGUUUCCAUGGAGUCAGUUUACUAGGGCCCUCAGUCAGAGCAUUCGAACUGAGCGUUAUAAACAGAAGAGAAAGAGCAUGCCUCAUGUACAACAUGCUCAUCCAGCCCCCAAAAGAUUUGCUUUGGGUAGG